AUUGAACGCUGGCGGCAGGCCUAACACAUGCAAGUCGAGCGAGCGGCGGACGGGUGAGUAAUGUAUGGGGACUGCCCGAUAGAGGGGGAUCACUACUGGAAACGGUGGCUAAUACCGCAUACUAUCGGAUAACCCAUAUGGGAUUAGCUAGUAGGUCAGGUCAUGGCUUACCUAGGCGCCGAGCCCUAGCUGGUCUGUGAGGAUGAUCAGCCACACUGGGACUGAGACACGGACCAGAUUCCUACGGAGGCAGCAGGGGGGAAUAUUGCACAAUGGGCGCAAGCCUGAUGCAGCCAUGCCGCGUGUAUGAAGAAGGCCCUAGGGUUGUAAAGUACGUGCAGUCGGGAGGCGUUACCGACAGAAGAAGCACCGGCUAACUCCGUGCCAGCAGCCGCGGUAAUUC
rnacentral:rRNA from 1 species